AUGGACCGGUACCAGAGGGUGGAGCGACCGCGGCCCGAGUCGGCCAUCGCCGAGAACGAGAUCCGAAUCACCGCCCAGGGGCUUAUCCGCAACUAUGUCUCCUACGCCACGUCCCUCCUCCAGGACCGGAAGAUUAAAGAGAUUGUUCUGAAAGCCAUGGGACAGGCAAUCAGUAAGUCUGUUGCUGUGACAGAGAUUAUCAAGAAAAGAGUACCGGGGUUGUACCAAGAUACUAACAUCAGCUCUGUCAGCAUAACUGAUGUCUGGGAACCUAUUGAAGAAGGCCUUGUCCCACUGGAGAUGACUCGCCAUGUUUCAAUGAUUUCAAUUACUUUGUCUCCAGUAGAGCUGGACCAAAAUUCCCCAGGGUAUCAAAGCCCAGCUUAUGUUGACCAGCCCAGGCAACAGCAGCGCCUCCAGCAGGCACCAGCGCCGCUGCGUCAACCUCGCCAACAACCAUCUGAUUAUGACGACUCCUAUGUGCGGGGUCGUGGCAGAGGAAGGGGCCGUGGACGUGGUAGGGGUUGGGGUAGAGGAGGUUAUGGCGGAUAUGGAAACAACCAAGGUGGGUACAACCAAGGGGGGUACAAUCAAGGUGGAUACAAUCAAGGCGGGUACAACCAAGAUGGUGGGUACUAUGAUAAUCAAGGCGGAUACAACCAAGAUGGUGGGUACUAUGAUAAUCAAGGUGGGUAUGGCGGUGGAUAUGGCUACAACCAAGGCCGACAAGGAAACUACCAAGAAAAUGGUGGAUAUAACCGAGGACGGGGUGGUAUGCGUGGAAGAGGCAAUUGGAGUUACCGUGGGGGAUAUGAGCGUGGCAGGGGUGGCGGUGCUCCAGGUGGGAGGGGAUAUGAAGGUGGAAGGGGAUAUGACCAAGCUCCUGCUGGAAGGGGCUACGGAGGUGGAAGGGGAUAUGAAGGCGGAAGGGGAUAUGACCAAGCCCCUGCUGGAAGGGGAUACGAAGGCGGAAGGGGAUAUGACCAAGCUCCUGCUGGGAGGGGGGGAUACGAGGGCGGAAGGGGGUAUGGAAGGGCUCGUGGAAGAAUGGCUCGUGGGCGAGGGUACUGA
rnacentral:rRNA from 1 species